rnacentral:rRNA from 1 species
GAUGAACGCUGGCGGCGUGCCUAAUACAUGCAAGUCGAGCGAACAGACGAGGAGCUUGCUCCUCUGACGUUAGCGGCGGACGGGUGAGUAACACGUGGAUAACCUACCUAUAAGACUGGGAUAACUUCGGGAAACCGGAGCUAAUACCGGAUAAUAUAUUUAACCGCAUGGUUCAAUAGUGAAAGACGGUUUUGCUGUCACUUAUAGAUGGAUCCGCGCCGCAUUAGCUAGUUGGUAAGGUAACGGCUUACCAAGGCAACGAUGCGUAGCCGACCUGAGAGGGUGAUCGGCCACACUGGAACUGAGACACGGUCCAGACUCCUACGGGAGGCAGCAGUAGGGAAUCUUCCGCAAUGGGCGAAAGCCUGACGGAGCAACGCCGCGUGAGUGAUGAAGGUCUUCGGAUCGUAAAACUCUGUUAUUAGGGAAGGACAAAUGUGUAAGUAACUAUGCACGUCUUGACGGUACCUAAUCAGAAAGCCACGGCUAACUACGUG